CAGGCUUAUACAUAUAUAUAAUAACUUUUUUCUAGAUUUUUCGAAAAAUGUGGUUUUUCGGGGGUAAUUGGAUGGGACACAUAUUGCCAUUUUUCCACCAGAAACUGAGAGGGAAUAUUUAUUUAUUAAUAGAAAGUUAUGCCAUUCAUUAAAUGUGUUAGCUAUUUGUGAUUCCAACUGCGAAAUUCUUGCUGUAAAUAGUGCCCAUGGUGGCCGAACACAUGAUGCUCGAGUGUUACGAUCAUCGAAAAUAUUUGCUCAUUUAGAACGGAAACACAGAGAGGGUGAAAUAAAUUCAUGGCUUUUAGGUGAUUCUGCUUACCCUCUUUUACCAUUUUUGCUGACGCCGAAGCUAAAUGAAGUUCAGGAAAGGAACUCCAGGCGCUAGCUAUCAUCGUCAAUGCUUGUUGCGUUCUGCAUAAUAUGGCAAUCAGAUGGGGGAUUCCAUACGAUGAAAUACAUCUGGAUGAAUUGGACAUUGCACCACCAAUACCAUAUAAUGGUGUUAACGAAGAAAAUGGAGAACAAACCCGAAAUCGAGUGAUCCAGUGGUAUUUUUCUAAUUAAUCUUUCUCGAUGUUGUCAUCUGAUUGUAUCUUUUCAAAUACAAAUGUAUUAUAUUGUGAUAUUUUCUGAGCGAUUAAAACGUUUCUAAUAGUUUUUAACGUUUUUGUCAUUAACUUUUGUAUUUACUAAGUAAUUAAGGUGUUUGUUAAACAUUUUUUGAA